GAUGAACGCUAGCGGCAGGCCUGACACAUGCAAGUCGAGGGGUAGAGGAAGCUUGCUUCCUUGAGACCGGCGCACGGGUGCGUAACGCGUAUGCAAUCUGCCUUGUACUGAGGGAUAGCCCAGAGAAAUUUGGAUUAAUACCUCAUAGCAUUAUGAAAUCGCAUGGUUUUAUAAUUAAAGUUCCAACGGUACAAGAUGAGCAUGCGUCCCAUUAGUUAGUUGGUAAGGUAACGGCUUACCAAGACGAUGAUGGGUAGGGGUCCUGAGAGGGAGAUCCCCCACACUGGUACUGAGCCACGGACCAGACUCCUACGGGAGGCAGCAGUGAGGAAUAUUGGUCAAUGGACGCAAGUCUGAACCAGCCAUGCCGCGUGCAGGAUGAAGCAUCUAUGGUGUGUAAACUGCUUUUGUACGGGAAGAAACACUCCUACGUGUAGGAACUUGACGGUACCGUAAGAAUAAGGAUCGGCUAACUCCGUGCCAGCCGCCGCCGUAACAC
rnacentral:rRNA from 1 species